rnacentral:tRNA from 1 species
GCCGCAGUCGCAUAAUCUGGUAUUGCGCUAGCCUUGAGAGCUGGUUUCCGAAAGGAUAUCUCGGUUCAAAUCCGAGCUGCGGCG